UCAAACUUGGUCAUUUAGAGGAAGUAAAAGUCGUAACAAGGUUUCCGUAGGUGAACCUGCGGAAGGAUCAUUAACGUAUCUAAGGCGCUCGGCCUGCGGCUCUGCUCCGAUCGAAAGGUCGUGCAGCGGGCCCGGGCAGACGUCUAUCUAACCUUCACAAACCCACUGUGCACCUUUACGGCAGAGGUCCUCGGGCGAGAGCCCUUUGGCCAAAGCCGUCUCUACAAACACUAGUAACAAGAAUGUCAAAGCGACUCUGUCGCCCAUUAAACAUAACAACUUUCAACAACGGAUCUCUUGGCUCUCGCAUCGAUGAAGAACGCAGC
rnacentral:misc_RNA from 1 species